GGAGGCAACACCAGUGAAAUAUCAGUGCUAUAGCACCAGAGGCAAAGUCUCACCUUCCAGUUCAUUCUUAGCUUUUCUCAGUGACUUUCUAAGUGAAUUUGCUUAUGACUUUGAAUAGUAGUGUUUUUAGGUAUGAUGACACAAUUGCCAGAUGAUAUUUACUGAUGCCUGUAAUAACUUGCGGGAGGUUCUGGAGUCCCAUGGUUAUUAAUCUCUGGAGGCUUCACCAUCCUUUGUGGGUUCCUUUAAUUAUCUCCAUUGCCUCAAAAGCUAAAAAAGCAAGUCUUGCAGUUUGGUGGGAGAGAGUAUGCAGUCACCAACAUGGCAUGAAUUUAGGAGUGAAUAAACGAAAGAAAAGAAAAAAACCUAUUAUUUAGAGUGCUAUGAAUGGUGUAAGCAAGCCUCUUUUGAGAGAGAAGAGCUUCACGGAGAAGCAGAUUUUGCUGGUGGUGAAACAGGGGAAGGUCAUUCCUGGCAGAGGGAGCAGGUGAGCCCAGACAGGCCUGAUAGAAGUCAGUCUGACUCUUCCUUGACCACUUUAAGCCCCAGUAGCCGGCCCAGAUCCUCCCACGAUUCUUGCUGCCUCCCGAACUGCAGUGUGAGCAAAUGAGAUAAGUACAAAAUAUUCCUACACCACUGGCUCCAUGCUCUCCUCAUAUUCAAUCAUGAAGACUAAUGAACCAGAGAUGAUUACGGUGGUAAAAAUCCAAAUGCAGAUUUUUGCUGUCCUUACUAAUGAGAGAAAAAUAUAGUAGACCAUUGGCCUAAAGGCUCCAGAUGCGAUUCCUUUGUAACUUAGAGUGCAUUAAAAAAGCUUCAGUCAGCAAGAUAAGUUAAUUUUUUUAUGACCUUUAUAAACUCUUUUAGCCUGUAUCUCGGGAGCUUCUUAAAGAUUAAAUUUUAAAAAAUCCUUUUAGCUCAGGCCAACACAGCAUCUGAGUCUUUUUUGCUUCCAAGGCUACAUCCAAAAUCUAUAAAAAAAUUCUGUUCAUGACAAUUAUUGUCAAAGUAAUGAUUAGCUAACAUGUCAUUUUUAGUUUUUACUGUUCUUGCCUCUAUGAGACUAAUCCAAUAAAGCUCACAUCUUCUUAAUGUAAAAGUUGCAUGAAGGAUGCAUUAUUCCCGUUGACUUUGCCUACAUUUGCAAAUUCUUGAAAAAGCAAAUUGAAUUGUCACUAGUGGCACCUCUUUCACAGGAUGAUUGUUGGGUCAAAGUGAGAGUGUAGGGGACAAAUAUCAAGAUUUUUGUUAAAAGAAAAAAAUCCCUACCUAAGAACUGUAAAGCUGUAUUAAUAUAUAAUUGAGGCCAUGGACUUUAGUAGACCAUAAGGCACAGCUACCCAAGGUGAUGGGUAUAAUUUUGCAGGGGGAGGAAUGUCGGAGGAAUGUGAAGGGCUCUUCAUUGAUGGCAUCACAAAUUUAAUUUAUUAUGUGAAACAUGUAGUUUCUUCUCACCUCUUUGGUUGUAGGAUAACUGCUCCUUUUAAACACUGUGCUUUUGACUGGCUUGAUUGGUAACUACAAAAGUCAUCAUCCUAGGCAUCUGUCACUACUUCUAUUACAUCCAACCUACUGACCCAGAAAAUCUGUGGUUGACACAAUUGAUUUCUCUAAAAGAUUCAUUCAGCAUUUAUUUUAUUUUUGACAUCCACCUACAAGGUCCCACAGAAAUUUAGUACCUACAUCUCUGUGUAAGAGAAACACAGCCCUUUAUAAAAAGUGCAUAUCCUGAAGUGAGGAGCUGGAACAAAGCAGGAGUCUUGCUUAGAAUGAUUCACUGAAGUAACUGGAUUUAUUAAGAUGUAUGUGAGCUUUGGUGACUAUGCCACUGAAGACAUUUGUGCUCACCUCGUGAGAGGCUGCCACUGGAAAUAACAACAACUAAUAAUAAUAAUAAAAGGAAAGAAAAGACUCAAGUUAUAAGACUUAUCCUUGUAUUAUCAAACUACUCUGAAUCUUAACCUUCUCUAUGUCUCUUUCCCUUCUUUCCUCUCGGGAUGCCUUCCUUUAGAUCCCAGAAAGCAUCUUGAUUUCAAACUAAGAUAUACAAGCCACAUGGCUUAAAUAGAUGCUUGACAGUUAUCUAUUACUUCCCAUGUAUAUUGCCAUGCUACCUCAUUAUAUAGAAAGGUUACGUGAUUCUUUUUUCAAGGCAUAUAGAUAAUUAACUGCCAGAUUCAGAAUUCACCCUUAAUUGUUUAUCUUGUAAAUAUAUUGGCAUCUUCUCAUGUGCUCUAAAAUCUAAUGACCUGGCUUGGUCAUGCAUCAUCCUAUGAAUUUGCUGAGAAAUGAGCAAUGGGAGGGAAUAUAGAGGUCUGUAUAAAAUGGCAGUAGUGGUCUUUGCUUACUGAAUUCAUACAUCUAAGUAGAUUAAAUUAUUUCUCUUUUUAUCUUGUUAGCUAAGAAUUUUCAGCUUGGGCUGAGCCUCAGGUCCAAUCAGGUAUACUUAAUAUUUAAGAUUUUUAAAAUUGUUUUUCUAGUAAUCCAUAUCUAUAGUAUUUUUAUUUUUAGUAACUUAAUGGUAAUAUUCAGGGGCCACAUUUUCUGGGGAAAUCCUUUUUUUCUAAUUUGACACAGGACAAUAUAAAAUGUUUUAUUGACUGUAUACAUAACUGUUCAGAAAGCUCUUAUAGCGACUAUCUUUUGUCAAUUUCUUCUGAUUCUACUAAACGUUGUUUUCAUUCCAUAACAAGAAAUGAAUGAAUGCAAUGAUUUUGGAGAGGAGGCAGUAUCAUUGGCUCUUUCAAAGAUAAAACACUUCCAAGGUUCCUAGAACUGACUUUUACUAUAGUGCCACCAUGAAAGAUCUGAAGAUCAUUAUUUACUAGAAAUAAAGGAACAAGGCAGAAAUCGAUGACUACACUAGAUUUAUGUUUCCCUUGCUUUCUAUAUACAUCUCUAUUUGUCCUAACUUCAUGGGGAGGAUAUUUAAUACAUAAUGGAAGGAGCCUGUUGCUUUUGAUUUAUUUUUUGUUUAUUAUUUUUGGCAUUCCAUAGAGAAAUUCUGGAAAUCAAUACUGUCUCUCUGUGUGUGUAUGUCUGAGUACCUUGGGCACAAUAUAGGUUUAAAGGUUCUAAAGGGACAAAGAAACCCCCUUCACUGGCUGAGCUCUCUUUUAUUAUAUCAAAUUAUAACAUUUACUCAUGAAAGAGAGUUGCCUUUCUUUCUGUGUAUGUUUUACAUGACAUUGUGAGCACAGACACAAAGGCUAAUUUAAUCACAAUCACAAGAGCGAGAUGAUGCUUUGUGUAUUUAAAUUUAUAGAUUAUUGCCCCCUCCUAGAGCCCAAGUGAUUCUCACCAAUUCUAGCUAACUCUCUCUUAGCAAUUUUAUUAGAGAAUUAAGAUACAUCUCAGGUGUACGUGGUAGAUGAAGGCGCAAUUCAUAGAGGUGUUAUGAAAUUUUAAAUUUACUUUGAGUGAAUAAUGGGAUAGUUGGUAAUGCAGAUGAGGUAAAAUGAACCCUGUCUUUAAAUAGUUUCUAAUCACAUAUUUGGACUUAAAAACUACAGGUAAUCAACACUAAUUUAUCAAGACCAUGUGAACAGGAAAUUAUAUUUAAAGGAAGUGAUAUGUGUUGCUAUUGCAUGAAUUUAUGACAGCUGGAUAGAAACUCAGAAGGACAGAAUACAUGAAAAAAGAAUGAAAGUAGCAAGGCUGUCCAAUGUUACAAAACAGUGGAACAGCCCCAUAGUAAUUUCCAGCACCCCCAAACUGGCUCUUAGUAGUGUUGUCUUUUUUUUUGUUUUUUCCUCGUACAGAGACCAGAGAAAAUUUCAGAUUGGUUCUUCCUCUGGGGUUCUGGUUUCUUGUCUGAGAGACUUGCCUCACUUAUGGCUGGUUGUAAGGACUAAGGUUAUUGACUCUUUCUCCAGAGUAUGACAAUUCCAUAACAAUACACUAAAUGAUAAACUGAUUAUAAACAACAGGAGAAUACUUCUCAUAUCUAGUGUCAGUGUGCUGGAUAUAGAGGUCCAAAGGAAAUUAGGAAUAUGUAUUUGGAGUUCAGGAAAAAUGACUACAUAUACAGGACUUGUCAGCAUGAGGAUAAUUGAAGUGAUUGGAGUGGUUAAGCUUUCCCUGGGAGAGUAUUAGUUAUAAAAUGCAGGCAGAGGACAAAAUCUUCAGAAAUAGCAGCCCCCCAAAAGUUAUGAGGAUUCCUAGAAGGCUGAGAAAGCAGAGUUAGAAUGAGCAGUAGUGUUAUAGAAAUAGUGUGCAGGUAAUGCCACAGAAAGGCCAUGCAGAAUCAGAAUUUACAAAUGUUCACCGGCUUGACCUCAGGAGGUAAUUGGUAACCUUUGCAUGAACAGUUUCUGUGGCCACGUAAUACUAGGUAAUAACCAUAAGUUUACUUUGGUUACACUUAAACAAUGACAAGUGUUUGCACUUGUAAUUUUCUUGAUCAAAGUGACGCCUAUUUGAAUAUCAGCCAACAUUUCUAGCUAAGACGUUUCUUAGCUAACUUUACAUUUGUCAUCAUACCCCCAAAGUGAAUGCACUUUUUGGAAAGGAGCAGUGUAGUCAUGUUCCCUUUAUUGAGUUUAAGCAAAGAAUUGUUUUAUGUAUAUAUACAUAUAUAUAUGUAUACACACACACACACACACACACACACAUAUACACACACACUUUAUUUUGGCAAUUAUGUUGAAAACCUUCACUGAAUUUUGGGAAUAUUUGUUUGUUCACUAAAGUUAAAAGGAUUUGAGGAGCAAACAUUUGUAUCAUGAAUGUGGUACUCCACAGAUGAUCAGUUUAGCCAUGACCCUCCUACCGGUCCAGUUUGCACACACCACUCUCCAGCUGGUUGUUCCUCACUUCUGAGGCUUCCACUAAUUCAGGCCUGGCUGUUUUUUUUUUUUUUUUUUUUUUAAUCAUCCACCAGUGCCUGAAGUUUGUUUAAAUUGUACGCCUAGAGAUGCUCUUUAUAUGUAUGUUUUCAUUAUGAAUGUUAUUAAAAAUUAAUGGCUAGCAAAUACUACUUACUAUGUAUUAUAUACUACAAAAAGCAUGUUAAAAGUGUUUUAUUUGAUUCUCUCUCACACACAGAAACCUGUAGGAAGUGUUAUUAUCCCCAUUUUAUGGAUUGCAAAACUGAGACUCUAGUUCACAGAAACACUUGGUGGCAGAACAGGGGCUUGAAUUCAGGUAUCUCUGGUGUUGAGAUUCUUGAUCUUAACUACUACUUAUACUACUUCCUAGUUAUUUGUAUGAUCAAUUGUUAAAGUAUGAUUUCCUACACUUUUAAAUUUUGGUGCGUGACUUGUGACUAUUUCGUCUUCAAAUUUGGUAUAAUCACAAAUUUAGGUACAAUAAGUAAUUACAAAGCUGUGCAUAUAUCUCUAUUAAUUUUAAUAAAUGAGAAGCUUAAGAAGAUCUUAGAUACUCUAUUACUUUUUGAAAUGUCAUGCUAAGAGUAGUAGAACACUAUAUGACAUAUUAAGACAUUCUGGACAUCAGAUUUCAAAUUCAAAACAACCACAUUUUUAAAGAAACAAAAUAAAUGAUUACUAGUGUUGCCCCCUGAAAAUAGAAAAUAACAUUUUUCAUUCUGCUGUUAUAUAUAGUACCAACGUAUAAGAUUUUAUUCAAUAUAAAGCUACUAUUUUUAAAACAUACUUUAAUACACAUUGAAAUAUAUUGGGUAUACACCAUAUCCCAUUCUAAGCACUAAAAUAGCUCAGUUGUGAAUACAUUGCAUGAUCCUACCAUUUUAUAAACUCUGAUUUAGAUUUUCUAUGAGAGAAGCUAGAAGGUUUCAGAGAAGAAUGAUACUUGAGCAAAUCUAUAUAGUGAAAAUAGGGAAUUUCUGAAUUUACUGACUUUUAAAAAAAGUGCCCCUCAUGUGUAUUUGAGAAAUAAGAAUAUAUUUGAUGGAAAAGUAGGACUUCAUAGGCCAAAUGCCCAAGGUCACAACUGAAGCCUCAGAAGGUAAAGAAAAGCUGUUAAAGAAAAGUAUUUACUAGGUUCAUGCUAAAUACACACAUCACACAGUGCAGGUCUUCUACCACCCUCUGUGUGGCAUGGAGUUCCACUUAUUGGAAGCACAUCAGUUCUUUUUGGAACCAUGCAACCAUAGUUUUAAAAUAUGCAUCCAAAGAGCCUUAUACAUCUUAGGCACAUACAACAAAAAAAAGUUGUCCUGACUUUAUACAGAAUACAUAGACAAUGUCUUCUGAAUAAAAAUCAGGCUCUUCUAGGACAUAAAACUUCUACACUGUAUUCUCUUCACAUUUUCUUUCACGAAACCCCCACACCCCCAACUAUUAUUGUAGGUAUUUCUCAAUCUACAGUAUAAUUGUUCUCUUUAAAAUCUCCUUUUAGGUCAGAGCCAGAUCAGCAGUAGGACUCUGAUAGAAACAAAGUGACUGGGUUCUGAAACCCCACAAACCUCUGAAACUCACCCAAAGCAGCCAAUUACCAAAGCUUUUGCUCCCUUGCAGAGAACACUGGCAGUAAUCAGAGGGGCAAAUGUGCAUCAGCUGAACGAACAACCUCUCUUUAGGGAGGCUGGAAUUCCCUGCUGCUUGUCAAGCUACAGUCGAUGUGAACAAACCUGUCAGUUUGUCUGCCUUUUCUCAUUCUGUACCACAUGUGUGGUGUUUUCAGGUUGCACAGUCUCUGAAAAUACCAGAAUUGGGUUCCAACAUUUAUCAAUAACAAUUUAUAGCAGAUAGCUUUCUGGAAAACAGUAGGAAUCUAAUGAAGCCUAACAAUACAGCCCCCACAAAGGUUUCCAGGCCUGGGAUCAAUGUCAUCAGCGAAAUUUAUGGGAAGGCCGUGCAACUCUCUGAGAUGCAGGGGCAUUCUCUGCAACCUGUCUUGGAUUCCAUCAAUUAUGGUCUAAUAAGGUCUUUCCUGACACAGGAGACAUCUCUCUUAGUAAGGCUUUCAUUCUGCCGCUGCCUCUGAGAUGUACAUGUAUAUGUAAAAACAGUUGUUUUUCUAUUGCAACUGUGGCCCUCUGAGAGAGAGGUCUCCAUGGGUUUUGUCUGCCUUUCUGGGUUCUGGCAAAUCCCUGUGGUUUCUCUCACUGGGUCUGUUUGCUCCAGGGAAUCUGAACAGCCAGACACCAGCUCCCAAAAUCUCUCUGAGGUGAAACAAACACUUGUCCCUAAAAAUUUCACAUUCCCUGCAUAUUUUAAAACUGUGAAAUUGACAUAUCUAGCUGAAUAUGAAUAUUACGGCAGCAAAGCUUGUUUGUGGAAAUAAUGUGAAGUCCGUAGCAGAGGAGUGGACUGUGGUGUAUUGGAUACGGUUUUGCUCUAAACUUUUAGCUUCCUCAACACGUACAGUACAGAAAUGUGAGCCUUGGAGCCUUUGAUUCUCCCUCAGGGCAAUUCUAGAUCAUCCUGGUGGUGUCCUCAGGGUUGACUUCAAUGUAUAUUUAACUUACUCCAGGCUGUCUCUUUGAGAGGCCAGUGUGUGGCUCACUCUAGAGGAUUCCAGGUUCUCUGAAAGAACUCUCAGUCAUUCAGGAAAAACAGAUUUCACUUCAGUGAUGUACCCAUACAAUAUACACUCAUACAUAUCCACAUUUAUACACACAUUCAUUAUAUGCACACAUAAUAUCCAUGCGCAUGUAUAUGUAUGUAUUUCCAUAAGUUUUAGGAAAGCUGCUUUAGGAAUAUUAUAUUUUAGUAAUGACACAUGAUUACUUGUCAUACUUUUUCUCUGGAUGAAUAAUGCUUUAUUUUCUUAAUGUGAUCAUAGCAGCCUUAGGUCAAUAAUGGGCUGCAGACAGAAGCCAGGCUUGCUUCUAAGACUUAAGUCACAUCCUUGAUUCAGAAUAGGUCUCAGGCUACGUAUAGCAGCCUUCUGAGGUAAAGUCUGGUGAGGGAGAAAAUCUAGACAGGAAGAAAUGGGAAACUCUCAGUUUAUCAAGGUACCACCUGUCCUUUACUGUUCUUAAAUAUCCUUAUUGCUAGUUACUCUACCAUGGGUAGAGUACCCUUUUCACCAUGAAUAAUUUGGGGGACAAAUCCAAGACCAUAAAGUCUUUAUUAAAUAACAUAAGAGUAAAGAUAAAGAUGAAGCCAAUCUAAGUACCUGUAUUCAUUUCCUAGGGCUGCCUUAAGAAAUUACCAGACUGAGUGGCUAAAAAAAAAAAAAAAAACAGGAAUGUAUUCUCUCAUAGUUCUAGAGGCUCGAAGUCUGAAAUCAAGAUGUCAGCAGAGCCAUGCUCUUGCUGAAGGCUCUAGGGGAGGGUAUGUUCCAUGCUUUUCUCGCAGCUCUGGGUGGUGCCAAUGAUACUGGCUCUCCUUGGCGUGUAGAUGCAUCAUUACAAUUUCAGCCUCUUCUUUUCCAUGGCAUUCUCUGUGCCUAUCUUCUCCUUUUCUUAUAAAGAUCCAUGUUGUAUUAGAUUAAGGGCUCACUCUACUCUAGCAUUACCUCAUCUUAACUAAUUGCAUCUUAAAUUACCUUAUUUCCAAAUAAGUUUACAAACCUGAGGUUCUGUGAAGGGCAUGAACUUUGGGGGGACUCUAUCCAACCCAGUACAAUACAUAAGGGGUUCCUUCACUGAAACACUCAUUAAUGCAUGAAAUCACUAUAUUAACUUGUUGCUAUCUAGAAGAAAAUUGGCAACAGCUGGAUGUGGUGGCACAUGCCUAUAAUACCAGCAAUUUGGGAGGCCAAAGCGGGUGGAUCACUUGAUGUCAGGAGUUCAAGACCAGCCUGGCCAACAUGGUGAAACCCUGUCUGUACUAAAAGUACAAAAAUUAGCCAGGUGUGGUGGCACGUGCCUGUAGUCUCAGCUACUUGGGAGGCUGAGGUGGGAGAAUCACUUGAACCUGGAAGGCAGAGAUUGCAGUGAGCCAAGAUUGCACCACUGCACCCCAGCCUGGGCGACGGAGACUCUGUCUCAAAAACAAACAAACAAACAAACAAACAAACAAACAAAAAAAACCCCAAAGAAAAUUGGCAAGGUAAGUAUUAGGGAGUGAGGAUGCAAAAAUAGAAAAUGUCCAGAACAGUGAUGUCCAAUGUGGUAUUUAAUGGCUAUUUAAAUUUGAAUAAGUUAAAACAAUAAAUUUAAAAAUUCAGUUUCUGUCUCACUAGCUACAUUUCAAAAGCUUGAUAGCCACAGGUGGCCAGUGACUACUCUAUUGAACAGUGCAGAAAUAGGACAUUUCCAUCAGUGCAGGAAGUGUGGUCUAGAACACAUCAUGAAGAGGAGUUACAGCAGAAGUUGUCAGGAAAAGGGAAGGUGGAAAGUCCUGGGAGUGCAGUAAUGUUGCUGUGAGAGAAGAGACCCUGAAAGAGCGGAUGAAGGUGAAGGUGCUUACUAAAUAUUUGUUGAACCAUUGAAGAAAAAGAUGAAUACUUCAAACAUGAUGGAAUGUUGUGGAGACUGGCAAUGCUGCUGACAAAAGCAUAUGACUGCCCUGAAGAUUUCUGGAAAAAAGCACUUUAAAGAAGCAGGAAAGCAGAUGGAGGGGGACCAGUUUUUUCCACAGAAUCCCUUUUCAUUUGGGGUAAGAUGCUGAAGACUAAUGACUAAGAAAGUCCAAGAAAACUAAGACUUCAUCUUCCUGGAAAAAUUGAAGCCAUUGAUUGGAACAAGAGAAACACCAAGACAGGAAGGGACGUAGAAAUUUUCCCUCUAUCCCUCUUCCAUUACAGAGACAUGGAAAAUCCCAGUAUAUGUUUGUUUAUUUCUCUAUUUCUUCUUCUCAUACAGAAUUUAAAAAUAAUAAAUUGGGAUGCAUUGGUGAGCUAGGCCUCUGGGGCUCUUGCUUUAAAUCAUUCUUUUGGUGCUGUUCCCUAUUCAGGUGUUCACAUUCAUGCUAACUCUCCCUCAAACACAUUUACAACAACCACUGAGUUAAAAUUUUUCCCUUGGUCCUUAAAUAUUAUGUUACUA
rnacentral:lncRNA from 1 species